GCCCCCUCGCCAGGCAGAUAAUUGCUACAUAUUCUUUUGUACUGCUGCCACCACCUCCACCAUCGGGCGUUUUCCCAAACAAUUGCCUGAGCAGCCUCAGAGCAAUCCAUCUCCCUGCCGACACUGCUUUGGUAUUAGGGGUCUCCCAGGAGCAGAUUCUGUGGCAAAUAUGAUGCACAGAGCCAAAUCCAGGAAGAUCUAGACCCUUGGAGGCCCAGACCAAGUCUACCAUGACAGAGAUGCCCUGUGACUGCUCCUGUCUGAUCACAUUCCCCACUCUCCUCACCCUGAAGCUAACAUCUCUGCACUGGCUGGAAAAAAUUGAAUUCCUUUCCCAACACAUCAAUAAGUGUCCUCAGACAGAGGUGGUUGAAAAGAAGAGACAGCUGCCAUGGUGUGCAGCAGAGCUUCCUGACAAGGAUCCUACAUCCUGAAAGACUCCAGCAAGGUGAGUCCCUGCAGUAA
rnacentral:lncRNA from 1 species